GGCGCUCCUUGUGGCUGC
rnacentral:misc_RNA from 1 species